GCAGUGUGUGAUGUCUCAGACUCGGAGGUAGAGAGUCAGAGCUGCUCGUCCGGCGGAUCUUAACCUCUGAAACAAACCCCCGGUGUCUCCUGUCAUCCUCCCCCCUCUUCCCCUCUCACCUCCCCGGCUUUGCUCCUCUCUGGAGCCCCUGGAAGCUUCUCCCUGUUUCUUCUUCUUCUUCUUCUCUCUAAUCUCCUUCUUCAGCCCGACUUUGACCAACACUUUCUUCUGUGGGAUUUAGUUUUCUGCUCAUUACUCCCUCCCAACACUUCGCCGCCGCCGCCGCCGCUGCUCCCAUUCGGAUUUGCUCGCCAGUGACAAGAAGAACCCCAAAGAAUCGGCGAGGUGGAUCCGUGGAUGCGCCUCUGGGGCUCGAACUGGAGAUGGAGAUGCUGAUACUGUUAUUUCAUUCCUUGUGGAUAUUGCAGUGCAACACAGCGAGCGCCGACUCCAUCAUCCACAUCGGUGCGAUAUUUGAGGAGAACGCAGUGCGGGACGAUGAGGUGUUCCAGCUCGCCGUGUCCGACCUCAGUCUGAGCGAUGACAUCCUGCACAGCGAAAAGAUUACGCAUUCCAUAAAGCUCAUCGAGCCCAACAACCCUUUCCAGGCAGUGCAGGAAGCCUGGCGAGAUGAUGAAG